AAAGUCGUAACAAGGUUUCCGUAGGUGAACCUGCGGAAGGAUCAUUACUGAUUUAGCAAACCGAGCGUUAGCGAGGUUCUGCGAUCACUUAUAUUUAAAACCCCACUCUUUAAAUUUUACAUAAAUAUUUUUAAAUGAUUAAAAAUUAAGAUCACUUUCAACAACGGAUCUCUUGGCUCUC
rnacentral:misc_RNA from 1 species